rnacentral:rRNA from 1 species
CCGUAAGAUUCACCCAUGCAUGUUUCUGACAUUUGAAAAAUGGAUUGCUCAGUAAUACUCACUUUAUUUUAUGUAAAUUUUUAAUUAACUACGUUAAAGUGUAGAUAAGAUGUUUACAGUAAGAGUGAGACCUAUCAGCUAGUUGUUAAGGUAAUGGCUUAACAAGGCUGUGACGGGUAACGGUAUUACUUUGUAAUAUUCCGGAGAAGGAGCCUGAGAGACGGCUACUAAGUCUAAGGAUUGCAGCAGGGGCGAAACUUGACCUAUGGAUUUUAUCUGAGGCAGUUAUGGGAAGUAAUAUUAUAUUGUUUCAUAUUUAAAAGUAUAUGAGGUGAUUAAUUGGAGGGCAAAUCAAGUGCCAGCG